GCAUCAAUGGGGUAGUGGUAACCUGGGUCGUUGCCAUGUUCGAACAUAAGUUCGACCCGCCGGGGGUUCGAUUCCCUCUUGAUGCA